AACGAACGCUGGCGGCAUGCCUAACACAUGCAAGUCGAACGAGAUCUUCGGGUCUAGUGGCGCACGGGUGCGUAACGCGUGGGAAUCUGCCCUUUGGUUCGGAAUAACAGUUGGAAACGACUGCUAAUACCGGAUGAUGACGAAAGUCCAAAGAUUUAUCGCCAGAGGAUGAGCCCGCGUAGGAUUAGCUAGUUGGUGUGGUAAAGGCGCACCAAGGCGACGAUCCUUAGCUGGUCUGAGAGGAUGAUCAGCCACACUGGGACUGAGACACGGCCCAGACUCCUACGGGGGGCAGCAGUGGGGAAUAUUGGACAAUGGGCGAAAGCCUGAUCCAGCAAUGCCGCGUGAGUGAUGAAGGCCUUAGGGUUGUAAAGCUCUUUUACCCGGGAUGAUAAUGACAGUACCGGGAGAAUAAGCUCCGGCUAACUCCGUGUCAGCAGCCGCCGUAA
rnacentral:rRNA from 1 species